AUUGAACGCUGGCGGCAUGCCUUACACAUGCAAGUCGAACGGUAACAGGUUAAGCUGACGAUUGGCGAACGGGUGAGUAAUGUAUCGGAACGUGCCCAGUCGCGGUGGAUAACUGCUCGAAAGAGCAGCUAAUACCGCAUACGACCUGAGGGUGAAAGCGGGGGAUCGCAAGACCUCGCGCGAUUGUAGCGGCCGAUAUCAGAUUAGGUAGUUGGUGAGGUAAAUGCUCACCAAGCCGACGAUCUGUAGCUGGUCUGAGAGGACGACCAGCCACACUGGGACUGAGACACCGCCCAGACUCCUAAGGGAGGGAGCAGUGGGGAAUGUUGGACAAUGGGGGGAAGCCUGAUACAGUCAUGCCGAGUGUGGGAAGAAGGCCCUCCGGUUGGAAACCGGUUUUGUCAGGGAAGAAAAGGUUCCGGUUAAUACCUGGGGAUCAUGACGGUACCUGAAGAAUAAGCACCGGCUAACUACGUG
rnacentral:rRNA from 1 species